rnacentral:piRNA from 1 species
UGGGAUGGUGGCUCGAUGUGUCUCCUCUU